GGAAACACCGUGAAACACCUAGAACAAUUAAAUACGUUUCGUAUCAGCGACAUGGCUUUCGCAAUAGCUGCUGUUCAACGAGAGUAUUAGGUCACCCUGAAAGCUUCAUCGAUUCUGAACCGCUUAAAAGCGCUUUCUCUCCUGCUCGUCGAUCGUCUGCCACUGGAAACAUCGUAUUAAUUGGGCGAUCGAGCAUCUCUAAUUUAUGAGAGUUCGUCGCACGUGCGCCCACCCAGGCUUACGAAUAACUUUUCAAGUAGGACACCGACGACACGGGUAUACGAUCUUUGUUCACCGUAGAUCCUCGAUAAAAGUCGGUAGUCGUCGCUGUAGAGUCAACUUCGGCCCAAUUUACAAAGCUCCGUGUUUACGGGGACACCUACUUCGGCGAGUUUAUGCCGAGAGUGCAAAACACUCGAUGGAGCAUCAUUUCCAGGGAUUCCAAGAGCCCCUCGUUUCAAUCGAUUCGUCCGAAGGGAUGAUUAAUCCUGAAAAGAAAAGGCAGAAGGAUUUCAUCUAGAAACCACGGAAGUAGUCGGCGUCGCUUCGUUCGGACGGAACGCCUCUUAAAGUGGAUGUAUGGGAUUAAGAUAAUAGUCCCGGGAGGGAAGGAACUGGGAAGGUGAAGGAGGCGAAGGCAAAAACGAGCGAUAUGAUGUGGGUCAAAGUCUUUGGGACUGGGUCGCUAUGUUCGGCUCCUUCCUCAAGAACAGCCGUCCCUCGCGAGCUUCUUCGGGGUCGCUGGCGUGACGAGAGAUGGCGAAGGUCGGGGUUGAUUUCAAUUGCCGGAACGUCGACCACUCGAUACAUCGACGCAAGCUAUAGAAUCCAUCUGACUUUAUCUUAAAUGAAAGUGUACGCGAUCACAAUUAAACGUGAAAGAUUUACGCUUUACUCGAAGAGAACGACUUUGAUGCAAUUAAUCUUACGUUGAGAGGAUUUUGACGUAAUACGACGCCCUUGAACUACCCCUAAAGCUUACACUGGACGCUCCGGAAUCAUAAAAAUCACUUCAGGCUAGGCUCGACGUCCUCCAGGAAGGAAAUGAAAUCUCGUGGUGCUGUGACAGAUUCAUUACUGGCUGAUAUCGCGAAAGAAGGAAGGAGAGAACGAUGGGGCGGUUUUCGGCGAUGACCGAUGGUCCGUGGGGUAGGUUCUCGUCUCUUCUUCAUUUUUCACCCUCGCGUGCUACUAACCGUCUCUCCCAUGCACCCCGCCAGCUCAUCCUUAAUAAGAUAACGCCAUAAGAACGAUAAAGUUGCUCGUCCUUCCCCAGCGUUAUUUUAUCGCCCUCCUUGGAUCUCAAUCAUUCUGUGUUUCUUCUGAAGGGAAAAAUAAA